rnacentral:rRNA from 1 species
GACGAAGGAUGCAAGCGUUAUCCGGAUUCAUUGGGUUUAAAGGGAGCGUAGGUGGGUUGGUAAGUCAGUGGUGAAAUCUCCGUGCUUAACAUGGAAACUGCCAUUGAUACUACUGAUCUUGAAUUUUCUGGAGGUAAGCAGAAUAUGUCAUGUAGCGGUGAAAUGCUUAGAUAUGACAUAGAACACCAAUUGCGAAGGCAGCUUACUACAGCGAUAUUGACACUGAGGCACGAAAGCGUGGGGAUCAAACAGG